UACGAUCCGCUAAGCUACCGUGUUAUCAAUGGACCGGUCAUCUUGAAGCAUGGAUCGCGACUAAGAUUCUGAGGGGGGGUGAAUUCAAGUGACGGUGAUUGCUAGGAUCGAGGAAUCGUGGGAGGCGGCCCCCUGACAGAUACUGACCUCAGAUUGCGAAAGCGUGGGGAGCAAACAGCCUUAGAUACCUGUAGUCAGCGUAACGAAGUCUACUUGGAGGUUGUGCUUGAGCGUGGCUUCGAGCUAACGCGUUAAGUAGACCGCCUGGGGAGUACGGUCGCAAGAUUAAAACUCAAAUGAAUUGACGGGGGCCCGCACAAGCGGUGGAGCAUGUGGUUUAAUUCGAUGCAACGCGAAGAACCUUACCUACUCUUGACAUCCAGAGAACUUUCCAGAGAUGGAUUGGUGCCUUCGGGAACUCUGAGACAGGUGCUGCAUGGCUGUCGUCAGCUCGUGUUGUGAAAUGUUGGGUUAAGUCCCGCAACGAGCGCAACCCUUAUCCUUGUUUGCCAGCGAGUAAUGUCGGGAACUCCAGGGAGACUGCCGGUGAUAAACCGGAGGAAGGUGGGGACGACGUCAAGUCAUCAUGGCCCUUACGAGUAGGGCUACACACGUGCUACAAUGGCGCAUACAGAGGGCGGCCAACUUGCGAAAGUGAGCGAAUCCCAAAAAGUGCGUCGUAGUCCGGAUUGGAGUCUGCAACUCGACUCCAUGAAGUCGGAAUCGCUAGUAAUCGUGGAUCAGAAUGCCACGGUGAAUACGUUCCCGGGCCUUGUACACACCGCCCGUCACACCAUAGAGGAGGUGGGCUGCAAAAGAAGUAGGUAGUUUAACCUCGGGGGGACGCUACCAUCUUUUGUCU
rnacentral:rRNA from 1 species